rnacentral:rRNA from 1 species
UGCCAGCAGCCGCGGUAAUACGGAGGGGGUUAGCGUUGUUCGGAAUUACUGGGCGUAAAGCGCACGUAGGCGGAUUGGAAAGUAGGGGGUGAAAUCCCAGGGCUCAACCCUGGAACUGCCUCCUAAACUAUCAGUCUAGAGUUCGAGAGAGGUGAGUGGAAUUCCAAGUGUAGAGGUGAAAUUCGUAGAUAUUUGGAGGAACACCAAUUGCGAAGGCAGUUCACUGGACCGUGAUCGACGCUGAGGAGCGAAAGCUAGGGGAGCAAACAGGAUUAGAUA